rnacentral:rRNA from 1 species
UCCUACGGGACGCAGCAGUGAGGAAUAUUGGUCAAUGGCCGAGAGGCUGAACCAGCCAAGUCGCGUGAGGGAAGACGGCCCUACGGGUUGUAAACCUCUUUUGUCGGGGAGCAAAGCGAACCACGUGUGGUUCAUUGAGAGUACCCGAAGAAAAAGCAUCGGCUAACUCCGUGCCAGCAGCCGCGGUAAUACGGAGGAUGCGAGCGUUAUCCGGAUUUAUUGGGUUUAAAGGGUGCGUAGGCGGAAGGUUAAGUCAGCGGUCAAAUGUCGGUGCUCAACACCGGCCUGCCGUUGAAACUGGUCUU